GAUGAACGCUGGCGGCGUGCCUAAUACAUGCAAGUCGAGCGAACGGACGAGAAGCUUGCUUCUCUGAUGUUAGCGGCGGACGGGUGAGUAACACGUGGAUAACCUACCUAUAAGACUGGGAUAACUUCGGGAAACCGGAGCUAAUACCGGAUGAUAUUUUGAACCGCAUGGUUCAAAAGUGAAAGACGGUCUUGCUGUCACUUAUAGAUGGAUCCGCGCUGCAUUAGCUCGUUGGUAAGGUAACGGCUUACCAAGGCAACGAUGCAUAGCCGACCUGAGAGGGUGAUCGGCCACACUGGAACUGAGACACGGUCCAGACUCCUACGGGAGGCAGCAGUAGGGAAUCUUCCGCAAUGGGCGAAAGCCUGACGGAGCAACGCCGCGUGAGUGAUGAAGGUCUUCGGAUCGUAAAACUCUGUUAUUAGGGAAGAACAUAUGUGUAAGUAACUGUGCACAUCUUGACGGUACCUAAUCAGAAAGCCACGGCUAACUACGUG
rnacentral:rRNA from 1 species